rnacentral:rRNA from 1 species
CCUGCACGAAGUUGGAGUUGCUAGUAAUCGCAGAUCAGAAUGCUGCGGUGAAUGCGUUCCCGGGUCUUGUACACACCACCCGUCACACCAUGGAAGUUGGGGGUGCCCAAAGUCGGUUAGAAAAUAGACUGCCUAAGGCAAAACCAAUGACUGGGGUGAAGUCGUAACAAGGUACC